rnacentral:rRNA from 1 species
UACGAAGGGGGCUAGCGUUGCUCGGAAUCACUGGGCUUAAAGGGUGCGUAGGCGGGUCUUUAAGUCAGGGGGGAAAUCCUGGAGCUCAACUCCAGAACUGCCUUUGAUACUGAAGAUCUUGAGUUCGGGAGAGGUGAGUGGAACUGCGAGUGUAGAGGUGAAAUUCGUAGAUAUUCGCAAGAACACCAGUGGCGAAGGCGGCUCACUGGCCCGAUACUGACGCUGAGGCACGAAAGCGUGGGGAGCAAACAGG